UACGUAGGGUGCAAGCGUUGUCCGGAAUUAUUGGGCGUAAAGAGCUCGUAGGCGGCUUGUCGCGUCGGCUGUGAAAACCCGGGGCUCAACCCCGGGCCUGCAGUCGAUACGGGCAGGCUAGAGUCCGGUAGGGGAGACUGGAAUUCCUGGUGUAGCGGUGAAAUGCGCAGAUAUCAGGAGGAACACCGGUGGCGAAGGCGGGUCUCUGGGCCGAUACUGACACUGAGGAGCGAAAGCGUGGGGAGCGAACAGG
rnacentral:rRNA from 1 species